rnacentral:tRNA from 1 species
GUGGUGGCUCAGUGGUAGAGCGCUUGUCUUGCACGUAUGAGGCACUGGGUUCAAUUCUCAGCACCACA